rnacentral:tRNA from 1 species
UCGGCUGGUGGCGGGGGGUGAAGUCGCGGUCGGCGCUCUCGGCGACGAGGGAGAGCAGGCCGUUGGGCCGUUCCUCGAUCACCAGGAGGCGGCGGGCC